UAUGAGUUACUUAUUCAAGGGUUACUUCACUAGUAGAAAAAUGCUCAUUUGCGUCGCCUUAUUUGCGUCACUCAUAGAAACAAAUGACGCAAAUGAGAUAUUUUGACAACAUUAUCAGUAAUUUGCGUCGGACAUUUGUUACAAAGCGAAGCAAAUGUCUGACAUAUUUCAACUUACUUAUAUAUACGUUGCUUUUAUAAAUAGGAGUGGCGCAAAUAACAUUGUCAUUUGCGUAACUUGUUUAUUAACAAGCGACGCAAAUAACAAGUCACUCGUUUAUUGACAAGCGACGCAAAUGACCACGAUGGCUUACAUAAAUUGUCCCUGCCUUCUGCUGUUCAAACUUCAAUACUUCAAAGUUCAAACCCUAGAAAAUUCAACCUACCCCAAAAUUUCCAGAAAUUCAACAUCAAAACCCCAAAACAUUACAAAAAUUUGACCACUAAUCAAUAAUCCAAGCAAAUGUGAGGCAAAACCCCUUAUAUUCGAGCAAAUCCGAGCCAAAAUACCAUACUUUUGAGCAAAAAAUCUACCCAAAACCCCCACGAAAUUCAAUUGCAGAAAAUCGAGCAAAUUACCUUAAAUUUGAGCAAAAUAUCAAUUGAAAACUCAAAUCAAAAGCUAGUAAUAUUGUCCUAAUAAAACCCUAGAAUUUUUGACAAAAAAACCAAGCAUAAUUGUGAGGAAACUUAAGUUUGAGUUUUGAAUUUUGGGUUUUUUUUUGUUCUGCGAUUGCAACAGAGUUUACACACAGAUCUAAGGAAGGAAGUUGGAUUUUCGUUCAAAUUAGGAGCAAUUUGUUACGAUUCUCUGAAAUUAGGGUUUGUACUCAAUAAUAUGGAAUUUUGGCUCUAUUAUUGCUGAAGUUGCAUAUGCAAAAUCGAUUUCAAGCAAGGAGCUGGUGACUUUAAACUAUUCGCAAGAGAAAAAGGAAGUGGACUUCCAUUAAGGACUUGUUCGUGUUAGGGAAAAUGAAGAUAUUGCCCCUAAAUUGAAUUAUAUUGGCUUCAAAUUCCAUAUUAUUUAUUGGAUUCUUUUGUUAUAGUUCUUAGGCUUGAAAUGAACGCAUUUGGUUUACCUGGUGCUUGUGUUAUUAAUGAUGAAGAUGUCAAUAUUGUUCAGUUGUAAACUUAUUUGACAAGCUGCUAAUACAAGGCGCCGUCAAUCCCAAAUUAAUAGGUAGGCCAAAAUACAAAGGAAAUUCUAUCGAAA